rnacentral:lncRNA from 1 species
AAUGGAGCUCACAGUAGAAUAUUCAUGAAAAGGACUAAUUAAUUUAUGCAAACUGGUAAGAACAUGAUAUAAUAUUAUGCAUUCCAUUAGUUAUUUUACCAAAAAUUUGCUAAGUGAUCACACAUAAGCUAAAAUUUGGUAAGUGAUCACACAUAAGCUACAAUUUGGUAAGUGAUCACACAUAAGCCAAUUCUAUUACAUACUUCCAGGCACCUUACCCUCUGUGAACUGCAUUUGAUACCAUCCAUGAUAAAUGAGCACAUCACUAUUAUGCAAACUGAUUGUUGCUAAUAUUUUAAGUGCCAGGGGCCUAGACUGUAUGAAGUUGUAGUAUUUGGAAUUUUGCCAUCUCCUUCAUGUGGCUUUGAGAAAUUUCCCCUUUCCAUAUUGACUCUGUAAAAUUGCCACUUAGAUCGUUGACACCUUGAUUACUAUGCCAUUAGCAACUCUUUUAUUCAUUUUAUUUCUUCUCACAUAAG